UUAAGCGACUAAGCGUACACGGUGGAUGCCCUGGCAGUCAGAGGCGAUGAAGGACGUGCUAAUCCGCGAUAAGCGUCGGUGAGGUGAUAUGAACCGUUAUAACCGGCGAUUUCCGAAUGGGGAAACCCAGUGUGUUUCGACACACUAUCAUUAACUGAAUCCAUAGGUUAAUGAGGCGAACCGGGGGAACUGAAACAUCUAAGUACCCCGAGGAAAAGAAAUCAACCGAGAUUCCCCCAGUAGCGGCGAGCGAACGGGGAGGAGCCCAGAGCCUGAAUCAGUGUGUGUGUUAGUGGAAGCGUCUGGAAAGGCGUGCGAUACAGGGUGACAGCCCCGUACACAAAAAUGCACAUAUUGUGAGCUCGAUGAGUAGGGCGGGACACGUGGUAUCCUGUCUGAAUAUGGGGGGACCAUCCUCCAAGGCUAAAUACUCCUGACUGACCGAUAGUGAACCAGUACCGUGAGGGAAAGGCGAAAAGAACCCCGGCGAGGGGAGUGAAAAAGAACCUGAAACCGUGUACGUACAAGCAGUGGGAGCCUCUUAAUGGGGUGACUGCGUACCUUUUGUAUAAUGGGUCAGCGACUUAUAUUCUGUAGCAAGGUUAACCGAAUAGGGGAGCCGAAGGGAAACCGAGUCUUAACUGGGCGUUAAGUUGCAGGGUAUAGACCCGAAACCCGGUGAUCUAGCCAUGGGCAGGUUGAAGGUUGGGUAACACUAACUGGAGGACCGAACCGACUAAUGUUGAAAAAUUAGCGGAUGACUUGUGGCUGGGGGUGAAAGGCCAAUCAAACCGGGAGAUAGCUGGUUCUCCCCGAAAGCUAUUUAGGUAGCGCCUCGUGAAUUCAUCUCCGGGGGUAGAGCACUGUUUCGGCAAGGGGGUCAUCCCGACUUACCAACCCGAUGCAAACUGCGAAUACCGGAGAAUGUUAUCACGGGAGACACACGGCGGGUGCUAACGUCCGUCGUGAAGAGGGAAACAACCCAGACCGCCAGCUAAGGUCCCAAAGUCAUGGUUAAGUGGGAAACGAUGUGGGAAGGCCCAGACAGCCAGGAUGUUGGCUUAGAAGCAGCCAUCAUUUAAAGAAAGCGUAAUAGCUCACUGGUCGAGUCGGCCUGCGCGGAAGAUGUAACGGGCUAAACCAUGCACCGAAGCUUGCGGCAGCGAACACUAUGUGUUGUUGGGUAGGGGAGCGUUCUGUAAGCCUGUGAAGGUGGCCUGUGAGGGUUGCUGGAGGUAUCAGAAGUGCGAAUGCUGACAUAAGUAACGAUAAAGCGGGUGAAAAGCCCGCUCGCCGGAAGACCAAGGGUUCCUGUCCAACGUUAAUCGGGGCAGGGUGAGUCGACCCCUAAGGCGAGGCCGAAAGGCGUAGUCGAUGGGAAACAGGUUAAUAUUCCUGUACUUGGUGUUACUGCGAAGGGGGGGACGGAGAAGGCUAUGUUGGCCGGGCGACGGUUGUCCCGGUUUAAGCGUGUAGGCUGGUUUCCAGGCAAAUCCGGAAAACCAAGGCUGAGGCGUGAUGACGAGGCACUACGGUGCUGAAGCGACAAAUGCCCUGCUUCCAGGAAAAGCCUCUAAGCAUCAGGUAACAUCAAAUCGUACCCCAAACCGACACAGGUGGUCAGGUAGAAAUACCAAGGCGCUUGAGAGAACUCGGGUGAAGGAACUAGGCAAAAUGGUGCCGUAACUUCGGGAGAAGGCACGCUGAUAUGUAGGUGAAGCGACUUGCUCGUGGAGCUGAAAUCAGUCGAAGAUACCAGCUGGCUGCAACUGUUUAUUAAAAAACACAGCACUGUGCAAACACGAAAGUGGACGUAUACGGUGUGACGCCUGCCCGGUGCCGGAAGGUUAAUUGAUGGGGUUAGCGGCAACGCGAAGCUCUUGAUCGAAGCCCCGGUAAACGGCGGCCGUAACUAUAACGGUCCUAAGGUAGCGAAAUUCCUUGUCGGGUAAGUUCCGACCUGCACGAAUGGCGUAAUGAUGGCCAGGCUGUCUCCACCCGAGACUCAGUGAAAUUGAACUCGCUGUGAAGAUGCAGUGUACCCGCGGCAAGACGGAAAGACCCCGUGAACCUUUACUAUAGCUUGACACUGAACAUUGAGCCUUGAUGUGUAGGAUAGGUGGGAGGCUUUGAAGUGUGGACGCCAGUCUGCAUGGAGCCGACCUUGAAAUACCACCUUUAAUGUUUGAUGUUCUAACGUUGGCCCCGUAAUCCGGGUUGCGGACAGUGUCUGGUGGGUAGUUUGACUGGGGCGGUCUCCUCCUAAAGAGUAACGGAGGAGCACGAAGGUUGGCUAAUC
rnacentral:rRNA from 1 species